UAGAAGCAGGCAGGUGUGGAGGCCGUUGGUACCAGUGAUGCUAGUUUCUGAGGCUGGUGGGUCACAUGAGCACCUGUUCUGGUCUAGCUUCAUUGAAUACAGUUGGGAUCCUGAGGAGAAAAAGAAGGCUGAGAGGAAUGGAAUGUCAUGGAAGAAACAGAAGGAAAAGCUGAGUCUCCCUCUUCUUUGCUGACAUGAAUAGCAGCAGCACAAAUUAAAGAAAUAAGGAAAGGAAUGGAGACUGACUUCCAGCUGCAUAGGUAAAUCUCCAAGUGUCCUGAGAGUCUCUGGACCUGGCAAAACACCCACCAUGUUCAGAGUCCUGUGCAAGUUCUGGGUUCACUUUUGUGCUCUGUGCAACUUGGGCCAGGUCUGCAGGUACAAGGAGCCUUGCUAAAAGAGUACUGAGUUUGCCCAUCUGUCCAAUUUGGGUCCUAGACCAGCAUAACCAGCCUUCAUCUCCUCUCUUCCUGGGAGGUGGGUAAGGCUAAAUGAUGCCAACAGCCUGCAACCACCCCUUUGCCUGGUCUGUAAAGGGUCAUUCCUGGUCUAGCCUGCAAGGAUAAUGAGUCAGAUAGAACAGUGGCCAGUCUGGACAGAGAAGAAGCUAUAUUUGGAGGCUGGUAUGAGCCAGCACACACCUGGAGGACCUGAGAAAGGCCACUUCUGGCUCCCAGGAGGCUGGAAGGCAAAGCAGGCUUUGGAUCUCUCUAACCUGGUCUGGAAGAAUGCACUCCAAGAAUCGAGUAGAUGUGGCCAACCAGCCCUGGAAGGAGGAACAAGGUCUGCCUUCAAAUGUCAUCCACUCUGAGGCCAUCCCCUUCCCAAGGUCAAGAUCAGGAAACCAAAAUUAUAUGAAAAGAAUUGGAUUAGAGGGAUUGGAUCCCAUAUCACAUGCUACAGAACAACCAUGGCUGUCAGGCAAAGGUCCUGGAGCCCUGGUGCCUCCUAUAUCAAGUAGUCCUGUGUCUGACAAGGACUUAAAGCAUGGUGAGCCUCUGCUGAUCUGUGACCCCUGAUGCUGAGCCCUGGUGCAGGAUCAGCUCCUCCCCCAACCCUCUUCCACCCAAGAUACAUUGCAGCCUGUUUGAACCUGGGU